rnacentral:rRNA from 1 species
GACGAACGCUGGCGGCGUGCUUAACACAUGCAAGUCGAACGGAAAGGCCCCUUUGGGGGUACUCGAGUGGCGAACGGGUGAGUAACACGUGAGUAACCUGCCCUUGACUUCGGGAUAACUUCAGGAAACUGGGGCUAAUACCGGAUAGGAAUCCUUGCUGCAUGGUGGGGGUUGGAAAGCUUCGGCGGUUUUGGAUGGACUCGCGGCUUAUCAGCUUGUUGGUGGGGUAGUGGCUUACCAAGGCUUUGACGGGUAGCCGGCCUGGGAGGGCGACCGGCCACAUUGGGACUGAGAUACGGCCCAGACUCCUACGGGAGGCAGCAGUGGGGAAGAUUGCACAAGGGGCGGAAGCCUGAUGCAGCAACGCCGCGUGCGGGAUGACGGCCUUCGGGUUGUAAACCGCGUUCAGCAGGGGCGAAGCUUGUGGUGACGGUACCUGCAGAAGAAGCACCGGCUAACUACGUG